GAUGAACGCUGGCGGCGUGCUUAACACAUGCAAGUCGAACGAAGCACUUUGUUAGAAUAUCUUCGGAUAGGAAGAUAAAGUGACUGAGUGGCGGACGAGUGAGUAACGCGUGGGUAACCUGCCUCACACUGGGGGAUAGCAGUUGGAAACGACUGGUAAUACCGCAUAAGCGCACAGCUCCACAUGGAGCAGUGGGAAAACCCGAGGGGGUGUGAGAUGGACCCGCGUCUGAUUAGCUGGUUGGUGCGGUAACGGCCCACCAAGGCGACGAUCAGUAGCCGACCUGAGAGGGUGACCGGCCACACUGGGACUGAGACACGACCCAGACUCCUACGGGAGGCAGCAGUGGGGAAUAUUGCACAAUGGAGGAAACUCUGAUGCAGCGACGCCGCGUGAGCGAAGAAGUAUUUCGGUAUGUAAAGCUCUAUCAGCAGGGAAGAUAGUGACGGUACCUGACUAAGAAGCACCGGCUAAAUACGUGCCAGCCGCCGCGGUAA
rnacentral:rRNA from 1 species